rnacentral:tRNA from 13 species
CAUUAGAUGACUGAAAGUAAGUAAUGGUCUCUUAAACCAAUUUAUAGUAAUUUAACAUUUACUUCUAAUGA